AACUAUCAAAACCCCUAUAACAAUAUUGGAUGAUUCUAUUAAACUAUAGAAGACAUAAUGCUAAAAUCAGUAAUAAGAACUCAUUCUCCUUGCAUAAGCCUAAGUUAGCCAACGGAUUACCCACUAACACCUAACAAAUACAAUAUCUUUAAUUAACAACCAGUGAAUUACCCCAAUAAUUGUUAACCCAACACAGGCAUGCACUACUAAAGGACAGAUUAAAAAGAAUAAAAGGAACUCGGCAAACCAAAACCCCGCCUGUUUACCAAAAACAUCACCUCUAGCAUUUCAAGUAUUAGAGGCACUGCCUGCCCAGUGAAUUAAUUUUAACGGCCGCGGUAUCCUGACCGUGCAAAGGUAGCAUAAUCACUUGUCUCCUAAAUAGAGACUUGUAUGAAUGGCAAAACGAGGGUUUAACUGUCUCUUUUUCUCAAUCAAUGAAAUUGACCUACCCGUGCAGAGGCGGGUAUAACUUUAUAAGACGAGAAGACCCUGUGGAGCUUAAAAUUACAACUUAAAUUAAUUUAUACUAUACCCUAAGGGAUUAAUCUUACAAAACUUUUUAAGCUGAAUUUUUGGUUGGGGUGACCUCGGAGCACAAGCAACCCUCCGAAUGACAUAACUAAGACUAACACAUCUAAGUGCAACCUAAGCCAGUAAUUGACCCAAAACUUGAUCAACGGAACAAGUUACCCCAGGGAUAACAGCGCAAUCCUAUUUAAGAGCCCAUAUCGACAAUUAGGGUUUACGACCUCGAUGUUGGAUCAGGACACCCCAAUGGUGCAGCCGCUAUUAAAGGUUCGUUUGUUCAACGAUUAAAGUCCUACGUGAUCUGAGUUCAGACCGGAGAAAUCCAGGUCGGUUUCUAUCUAUAUAAUAAUUUCUCCUAGUACGAAAGGACAAGAGAAUUAAGGCCAACAUUACAAACAAGCCUUACAACUAACUAAUGAUCUUAUCUCAAUUAGUUAAUGCAAGAUUUUAUUACUCUAGAGAAGAGUUAUUAAGGUGGCAGAGCAGGUAAUUGCAUAAAACUUAAGCCUUUACUAU
rnacentral:ncRNA from 1 species